rfam:Ornithorhynchus anatinus chromosome 4, whole genome shotgun sequence.
AGCAGGGUGGCCUAGUGGAUAGAGCACGGGCCUGGAAGUCAGAAGGACCCGGGUUCUAAUCCCAGCUCUGCCA